rnacentral:rRNA from 1 species
AGCGAACGCUGGCGGCAUGCUUAACACAUGCAAGUCGCACGGUCAGCAAUGGCAGUGGCGGACGGGUGAGUAACGCGUAGGUAUCUGUCUCUGGGUGGGGGAUAACCAUGGGAAACUAUGGCUAAAUACCGCAUGAAACCCGAGGGUCAAAGGCGCGAGUCGCCUGGAGAGGAGCCUGCGUACGAUUAGCUUGUUGGCGGGGUAAUGGCCCACCAAGGCGACGAUCGUUAGCUGGUCUGAGAGGAUGAUCAGCCA